AUCCUUUGUGGACUUCCAACCCAAACCAUCAAGUGCAGCAUAUGCUCCAGGUACCAUGCUUGAUGGCUCAUUUAAGAACAAGACAUCCUCUGUGGGCCAGGAGUAAAACCCACAUGUCUCUCCGAUACAAAGGACAGUCAGAAAGGGAAGGCAUAGCACAUUUGACCCAAACCCAGCCUCACCUGGGCACCAUGGGCAUCUCCCACUGCAUAAUUCAGGAGCUGAGCCAGCUAAUGGAAACCAAUUCUGUAUCUUCAAGGCAAGAUGAGAAGGUUUUACUGUUCCCCUGACUAGUAACAACAGAGAAUCGAUACAGCUCUACAGCAGCCAAAUGCCAGCACGUCUCUUCA